rnacentral:rRNA from 1 species
UACGGAGGGGGCGAGCGUUAUUCGGAAUUAUUGGGCGUAAAGGGCGCGUAGGCGGCUGUACAAGUCAAAGGUGAAAUCCCUCGGCUCAACUGAGGAACUGCCUUUGAAACUGUACGCUUGAGGCCGGGAGGGGGUAGCGGAAUUCCCAGUGUAGCGGUGAAAUGCGUAGAUAUUGGGAGGAACACCAGUGGCGAAGGCGGCUACCUGGACCGGUUCUGACGCUGAGGCGCGAAAGCGUGGGUAGCAAACAGG